AGUGAACGCUGGCGGUAGGCCUAACACAUGCAAGUCGAACGGCAGCACAGUAAGAGCUUGCUCUUACGGGUGGCGAGUGGCGGACGGGUGAGGAAUACAUCGGAAUCUACUUUUUCGUGGGGGAUAACGUAGGGAAACUUACGCUAAUACCGCAUACGACCUACGGGUGAAAGCAGGGGAUCUUCGGACCUUGCGCGAUUGAAUGAGCCGAUGUCGGAUUAGCUAGUUGGCGGGGUAAAGGCCCACCAAGGCGACGAUCCGUAGCUGGUCUGAGAGGAUGAUCAGCCACACUGGAGCUGAGACACGGUCCAGACUCCUACGGGAGGCAGCAGUGGGGAAUAUUGGACAAUGGGCGCAAGCCUGAUCCAGCCAUACCACGUGGGUGAAGAAGGCCUUCGGGUUGUAAAGCCCUUUUGUUGGGAAAGAAAAGCAGCAGGUUAAUACCCCGCUGUUCUGACGGUACCCAAAGAAUAAGCACCGGCUAACUUCGUG
rnacentral:rRNA from 1 species